GGGGAUUUAGCUCAGUGGUAGAGCGCUUGCCUAGGAAGCGCAAGGCCCUGGGUUCGGUCCCCAGCUCACCA
rnacentral:tRNA from 1 species